AGGGAGGAGGCGAGCUCGUCGAAGUCGAUUGCCGUUGCAGUCGGCCUCCAUGGAGGCGAUGAGGGUGUCGAUCUCGUCCCCCGCAGCUAGCUUGGAUCCUGCGCGAGUGUGAGGUUUCCUGGAGGCGUUGUCAUCCAGAAGCGCCGAACCGGACGCGUCGUUGUUGUCCCAAAGCGAGACAGCUUGUCACGCUGUCUUCAUUCUUGAUAGCUGCAGCCCGGCUCUGGCGUUGCGUUCUUCCACCUGCAGGUCCCUCCUUCUCCCUUCCCCUUUUCUGAUUUUGUGCGAUUGCACCAUUAUAAUCUGCACCAUUUAUGUAUUUUGUGCUCCUACAUAUUGUCUGAUGUUGAUUUUCAUCAGAUUGACUUCUGGUCCAUCAACUACAUAAUCAUUGUAAGUUAUACAUGCCAAACAUAACUACGGGCAUAAUGUUAAUUUGUUUAUGUCCCUCCACUUUUUUUCCGGGCUUGUGACCGGCAUCGGCACGGAAGUGUUAGCCCCCCUACCCCCAUUAAUAUUCAGCAUACUUAAGAAAUACUCCCUCCGUUCCUAUAUAAGUCUUUGUAGAGAUUCCACUAUGAACCACAUACGGAUGUAUAUAGAUGUAUUUAGAGUGUAGAUUCACUCAUUUUGCUCCUUGUCUAAUCCAUAGUGGAAUCUCUACAAAGACUUAUUUAGGAACGGAGGAAGUAGUUGUUUUAUUUGGGCUUCACUAUAGUUUUAAUAAUUCCCAAAGAUAAACUGAGAUUUAUAAUAACUGAAUAGGAAAAUUGAUCUGGUUGCAUUAUACAUAUAAAACAUAAUGAUGCAUGGGCACUCACUAUUGGCCUGUACUGUAUAAUAAGAUUCAAAUAUCAGGUAUCACAUAAUAUAGAUUGUUGAUACUAAUUGAUAUAUUGAGCUAUUUCCAUCAAAUGUUGAUGCAUGUUUCCAAUGCUUUGAACAAACAAAUGAAACUAUCAGAAAAUGUAUUUCAUAUUUUACAUCCUACAAAGUAGGAAACUGGGAACAUAAUGAGAAGAAAAGAAUGAAUAUAGGAAGAAGCGGAAAUUAUGUUGAUACAUGCACUUAAAUGAGUCUUCCUUCUGGUUAUUUUCUUGCUUCAUUGGCAUUGCGACCGGAUGAUUAGGACUAUGCCCAAUCGUAAUGCUUGAAAAUACUGGGCUGAGUAAUAAUAUCCUUGUGAUAGCCGCUUAAGACAUCCUCAAGACGCGGCGACUUCUUUAAGCGACCGUUUGUUUACAUCAAUUUGUGAAAUAAACCUAUGAUGGUUGCCUUUCAAAUUGGGUAAUUUGAACAAUGUUAUACCAACCAGUAGUCGAAUUCCUAGUUGUGCUAAUGUGCUAACCAAGAAAAGUUAGAUUAUGUGGUGUCAAGAAAAUCAUAUGAAGCAGCAACUAUUAGGCAGUUAAUUGGUCUCACCAUUUGACACUAAAUAUCCUGCAGAGUCUGGAUGUUGCCGGGAUUAAUUGACUUGCUGCCCAGGAGCGCUGAACUUAGCUUCAUCCUACUUCUUGGCAAGGAUCGAAGGUACGGCGCACCUGCUGCUGGUACUCGCUUGUCCAGUCUGGAGAAUACAUCCUCAUGUAGGAGACACAAUGGGGUGCUCUCCGAGCAGGAAUGACCGAGGCAAGCCACUGGCACCGGGUUGCUGACUCCUGCUGCUCUCAUUCUAGUUCGAGCUACAGAUCAUGAAUCAUGAGGAAGCAAUAUACAUGUCAAGUUGUUAACUUCUCAGAGCAUGUAUAUUAGUAUGGACUGCACUAUAGACAUAUCCUACAAUAGGUUGUCUUUUCGGUUCUCUGCAUAGACUUUUGAUUGGAUGAAACAUUAAGUAUCUAUUGAUUGGCACUAAUUAUUCUGUGUUCUCUA